CGAGAGAACCGAGAUUUGAUGUAGAGAGCGAUUCUCAAAACCUGAUUAGUGAUUUGAUUGAACAAAUGUUAGACAAAUUUGAACAAUAAAGUUGCAAAAUUUUACAAAGCAAGACACAUUAGAACAAAAAAGAUAAUGAAUCAAAUCUGCAAAAAUAAUGUGAACAUGAAAAGACAGAAAUGGAACUCUAAUGAAAAAGGGAGAAGGGAAAAGGAAAAAGGAGGAUAAGAAGAUGCAGCAACAGAGAGGGAAGGUACUAUCGGUUGAAAAUCUGUACUCUUACUCCCAUUUUUAACGAAAAGAAAAACCAUUCUCUAUCAGUGGAAAAACAGUCUUGUCAUCAG
rnacentral:lncRNA from 1 species